GGGGUCUUAGAUCAGCUGGGAGAGCAUCUGCCUUACAAGCAGAGGGUCAUAGGUUCGAGCCCUAUAGGCCCCA
rnacentral:tRNA from 1 species